UAAACUUUGGUAUUUCAUGAUUUAUCAUCUCAGUCUACUUUAAAAUUAGUGGUUUCUUACUAAAAGUGGGGUUUCUUGCCUCCAUCUGAAAUUUUCUCUUCAAAGUAUUUUUUAUUACUGUAGUAUUUUAAGACACUACUGUUAUUAAAAGGUGUUACUAGAGUAGAAGUUCCCAAAUUCGUCUGAACAUAAAUCACCUGGGGCUCUCUAAAGUUUUUUUUUUUUAAUUAAACCACAAUCUCUGGGGGUGGAACACAGACAUCAUUGGUAGUUCUUAAAGCUCCCAGGUAAUUCCAAUGUGCAGGUAAGUUUUAGAACUAUCAUCUUAGAACAUCUGGUCAUUUCCUCAACUCUGAGACAUCGUUCAGGUCAUACAGUAAAUUACAUGCUAAAGUGGGAUUUAGAAGUAGCUAGAUUGGCUAAAACUAUACUUGGCAUUAGAUGUAGGUUUGGAUUUUAUUUCUAUGGAGUCUGGGUGGGCCAAGUAACUACUAAUUCCUGAGCCUGUUUCCUAUAUGGUGUUGAGGCUUAACUAAGAUAAUAAAAGUACACUGUUAAAUAACACACAAGGGAUUAUCUGACAUUCCAAAUUCUAGCAUUUUUAGACUUUUUUCAUUAAACCUUCAGAAAAAUUUACCAGUAAUCUCACAACUAGACGUAUCUUUGUGCAUUUGUACAAUCUUUUUUUUAACUUAGUACAUCAUAAGUUUAUGAUGCAUUAGGUAUUUUCCAUAUUAAUAUAUGGGGUCUCUUUGGUUCACCAUACAUUUAGUGGCUACAGAAUAUAGUCUACUCAAUAGAUGGAAAUUCCUAGGAUUUUUAAAUACUGUACCAUUUAACAAAUAAUCACAAGAUUAAGGUUGCAUGGCAAGUUACUGGCAGAAAGGGAACUAAAACCCAGGUUCUUUGCUAAAUGUUCUUUUGUUUACACUGUUCCUGCUUCCCACAAACUAUGUAAUUAGUUAGAAACAGCUCCUGUCCUCAAGAAGCUAAAGGAUAACCACUUAAGGCUUUGGUAACUUUGAUCCUAAACUGCUUUGUAAUCCUUUCAUAACGUAUUGCAAAGUUUGGCUACUUAUACUUACUUGAUCCAAAUCCUAGAGGAAUUUUUAGGUUUUCACCUCCUUUCUCUUGGACCCUCUCUUCAUGUGUAGUGGUUGCUUCUAACAAUUGCUCACUGAUGUAACCUGCUCUGACCCAGUCUGGCAGCUAGGUAUAUGAAAAAACUGAAUCAGAGACUGAAUUAUGAAGAAAUAAAGGUACAAGAGCAAACAUUCAACAGUUGCUCUCCCCACUAAUGAAGCUCACACAGACAAAAGAAUGGCAUGUCACUGUACGUCAUACCUUGCAAUAAAUCAAUAUUCUAUUAAACUGUACUGAUGCCAUUUAACAUGCUUUUGUCGAAGUGAACAUAUACUUUUCCUUAACUCUCAAUCUCCCUUCCAGGAAUUAUUCAGAAAGCAGUUCAUAUGAAGAUAAGUUUGUUUGCUUUUCCUGGAAAGUAUUUAGCAGUGAUUUGUAUAACUUACUAAUCUACAAUUAUACCUGAAAAUGAUAGAUGAGGACAGAACUUGGCAACCUGAGUAAAGCAGAUCUGGCUGUCAGUGAUAGCUGGAUACCAGGAUUGUCCUAAAUUGAUGAAGGUGAAGAGUGACUAGAAGCCCACCUCAACUGGACAAGUCUAUUAACUAUACUGGUCUUGAUGAUAUGAUAUGCUCAUUAACAACUGGCUGUUACGUGCCAGGUGCUAUAGAUUCACCAUAUUUAAUCGUCAUGAGAGUCCUUACAUUAUUAUACCCAUCUGACAGAUAAAAACAGGCCCACGGAGUAACUUACCCAAGGUCCACAGGUAGUAAGUGGAAUCUGAAACUACAUCCGUGUGGUGGUUUUUAGGGCUCCUUGUCUCCCAAUGUAGUAAUGCUGUUGUCAGCAGCCUGAACCCCUAGUAACUUGCUGGGAAGUUGUUUUUUUUUUUUCCCAAGAAGUUCUUGCUGCCCAUUUGGAAUCGCUUUUUACUGAGCUGUAAUAUUCAGCAUAACACAUUAAAAAAAAAAAUCAACACUCGAUAAAUAUAUUAAACAUUUCUGUAUUGAAUACUUAUAUAGAGAACAAUUAGAAUUAUAGUCUCAAGUCUUUGGAUUUGACUUGUUUUUGACUUUUGCCCUUCUUCAAGCAUAGUCUCCAAGAGCUGAUCUAGAGAGAGAAAUGAAAAUGUACAAAAACUUCCUAUUUCUUUAUUUGUAGCAGUAGGAUAAAAAGUCCUGUCAAAGAACUUGAAAAUAUCUAGUUUAUCAUAACUUGAAUUUGUUUUUAUCAAAAAAAGAAUGCAUAGACCCUGUAAUCAAGCACUUGGGAUCAAAUGCUCUUACUAGAUAUAACUACCUUGUAAUCCUUUUGACAAGAUAGAGGAAUAUUUGACUACCUAAACUUGAUCCAGAUGUCUGGGGUGAUGUCAGGUUGUAGGUUACCACUCCUUUAGAAGUGUUAAACAAGCCCAGAAGCAAGCUGUCUUCCCUCCCAGGACUAAAUGAGAAUACCUGUAAGGCACUUAGCAUAGUGUCUGCAUGGCACGUGGUAAAUGCUCAGUAAAUGUUAACAAGUUAUGAUAAACUUAUCACUACCUUUGAUCAACAAACAAUAUAGCUGUUUUUCCAUUUUAAUCCAGAUCUGGAAAGGGCUAUCUGGAAACUAAUAUUAAGAUCUAUAGUAGUAAACCCUAAGGGUACAGAAAACUUGUCCCAGCAAUAGCUCCCUGCUCCCUGACUUGCAGACAGUAGUAGUCUAGAAGACCUGGCCCAGCCUCUGGGGUGCAGUGGUCUACCACCAUCCCUGCUGUUUCUUGGGAUAAAAAUCCAGUUCAGCCAGUUUUUGCCUUUACUACUAAAAGCUCUUCCUCCUACCCCAAUCUAGGGUUUGUCUUGGUUGCUUAUUUCUCAAUUUUAGCUCUAACCUAACAUUUUUGAACCUAUUCUAUCACUCAGCUCCCAUCCCUAUUGUAGAAAAAAUGGUCACAGACCCAAAUAUUUUGCCCACAACCAGACCUGCUAGACCUUAACUGAAACUUGUUCUUAAGCCAUAACAUAAUUAUUGAAGCAUUAUUUAUACAAGUGUUUCAUUCAUCUGUGAAGACUUUACACUUUGAUGAAUUUUGAACAAGACCAAUCUAAAUUUCCACACUAUAAAAACAUAUCACUUAACUAAAAAUCACAUUUUCUCGUAUGUCAGUUCAUGGCCACACACAGUACAAGUCUUCCGGUACAUGUCAUCCUCUAGGUUUUCUUCUGGUCCAUACUCAUGUUGAUGAGCAACUGUCUUCUUUUUCCAUACACUGCUUCUUACUGCUCGCCGUAAUUCUAAGAGAAAAAUAAAAGCCAGUUUUUCAGUGGUGCUAUUUCAGCUGUGUGUGUUUAAACCAAAUGUGGUUUACACCUUAAUUUUAUAACAAGUCAAAACUGCUGAUACAGAUUUGGCAAGCUUACUUUCUUAUCUCACUCACCGGUUUGGCCUGUGAAAUCAUUCAUGUGAUUGUUGGAGUUGGUGUGAAACAGGAGAUUCAGAAUUGAGGUAUAUGGACUAGAGGGACUGCAAAAAACCAGAUUCAGAAGACAAGCGAAAGAACAGGGUUUGAGCAGCUGACUACGGAAGACAAGAUGCCACAGCAGGAAAGGGCAAUCAGCUGGGAUGACUGACGAUAAGGAGCAUUUUAAAUUCCUUGUAAGUCAGGAGCUACUUCUUCUCUAAGAGGUAAGGAAACUGAGCGAAGAUAGCAUGGGAACCCAGGUCAUUUAUUCCAAUGUUUAGAACUUUUCCCGCUACAUCACAUUAAAAUGUCAUUUUCACAAAGAAAAGUUAUGUUCGAUGCUCUGAAAAGCGACUAGGACAUUCUAAAGUUCACACUGCAUGUUACCGGAAGAAACCAAAUGCGUUGUGUUAAUUAGAAAUUAACAAGCUAAUAACAUCUCGGUUUCUAGUUUAAUGAAUAAAAAGCAACAUGAGUUGUUUUCAUUUUUC